AAGAAGAAACAACACACACAGUCAUCAAUAAAUGACAACAAAUGGAAGAGAAAAUAGUUAAUGGUUUGUCAAAUAUACAGCAGAACAUUCUAAAGGUGGAGUAAGUUAAAUGAACAGGUUAUAUAAAAAUGUCAAAGGUCACUAAAGACCACCACCAUCGGAAUGAUAACCACAGUUAGCAGCUUAGCCUUAAGUCAGGAGACUGAUACAUAAAUGAACAAACGUCCUCGACUGUUAUGGCUCAUGACUGGCCCCCACCACAGGCCUGAUCACACACCUCCUCCGUUCACGCUCCUCUCCGCCUGGUAACAACAAUCAUUAUCCGUUAAUAAUGUACGCAGCGAUCAGAACCAUCCAGCUCUUCCUAAUGGAUGCAUCUUUAAUGGCGGUCUUUUUAAUUAGGAACAGUCACGGCGGCUGAAUGUCAUCAGCUCCGCUCUCCUCACAUCCAUUAUUCAUCUGCUUCACUGCUCUUUGUUCUGGCAUUGACGGCGUCCACAGAGACGGAACAACACACUGACCUGGAGCAGGCCAUCGCUGUCCGCUCCGCUGACCGUCCUCAUCCGUCCUCAUCCGCACGGAAACACAGGACAAACCCGUCCUGCUGCCAACCUUCCCUUCUCUACGCCUCCCACAGGACCGUCAAAAUGGGGACGUGUAGCCCCCAAACCGUGGGUGGGUCUGCAGACUGCCUCUGACUAGGAUGGGCCUAAACUUUAGAGCUCUAGGCUCGAACUGAAGCCAGAAAUCCCUAACCUGAACCCACAAUCCUGUCCAGAGCUAACCAACGUGAGGAGACAAUAAAAAAAAAA